GCUGAAUUUCCAUUUGCAAGGGAAGGAGGGUUAAUGGUGGGCCUCAAAUGUAAAAACAAGGCAGUCUAUGCUGGUAGAAAAAUAGGCAAGGCUGCUGGUCAGGAUGGAGGCCACCGCCCAGCACCAGGCAUCACAGAAGGGCUCCGUGGGCUUGCGAGGAGCAGAAGCUGAUCCACAAGUUCUGGAGGUUGGGCAGAAGAAGAUCACGGCGCCAGA